rnacentral:tRNA from 1 species
GCAGCAGUGGUUCAGUGUAGAGCCCUCACCUUCCAUGUGGGAGACCAGAGUUCGAUUCUCAGCCAAUGCA